UUCGGCAAUGGGGGAAACCCUGACCGAGCAACGCCGCGUGAAUGAUGAAGGUCUUCGGAUUGUAAAAUUCUGUGGUAAGAGAAGAAAGAUAUAAAGAGGAAAUGCUUUGUAUUUGACGGUAUCUUGCUAGAAAGCCACGGCUAACUACGUGCCAGCAGCCGCGGUAAUACGUAGGUGGCAAGCGUUAUCCGGAAUUACUGGGCGUAAAGAGUGAGCAGGCGGUUAGAUAAGUCUAUGGUUAAAUGCAACAGCUCAACUGUUGUUCGCUAUAGAAACUAUUUAACUAGAGUGCGGGAGAGGUAAGUGGAACUCCAUAUGUAGCGGUGGAAUGCUUAGAUAUAUGGAAGAACACCAGAGGCGAAGGCGGCUUACCAGUCCGUAACUGACGCUCAGUCACGAAAGCGUGGGGAGCAAAUAGGAUUAGAUAUCCUAGUAGUCCACGCCGUAAACGAUGAGAACCUGAUGCAGGAGAUAUUCUGUGUCGAAGCUAACGCGUUAAGUUCUCCGCCUGGGUACUACGUUCGCAAGAAUAAAACUUAAAGGAAUUGACGGGCGCCCGCACAAGCAGUGGAGCAUGGGGUUUAAUUCGUCGAUACACGAAAAACCUUACCAGGGCUUGACAUCCCGCUAAAAGCCUUAGAAAUAAGGAAAUAGUUAUAGCGGUGACAGGUGGUGCAUGGUUGUCGUCAGCUCGUGCCGUGAGGUGUUAGGUUAAGUCCUCAAACGAGCGCAACCCUUGUCUUUAGUUGCCAUUAUUAAUUUAGGAACUCUAGAGAGACUGCCGGCGCAAGCCGGAGGAAGGCGGGGAUGACGUCAAAUCAUCAUGCCCUUUAUGCCCUGGGCCACACCCGUGCUACAAUGGUCGGUACAAAGAGAAGCAACACUGUGAGGUGAAGCAAAUCCCAUAAAGCCGAUCUCAAUUCGGAUUGAAGUCUGCAACUCGACUUCAUGAAGCUGGAAUUGCUAGUAAUCGCAGAUCAGCAACGCUGCGGUGAAUACGUUCUCGGGCGUUGUACACACUGCCCGUCACACCAUGAGAGCCGGUAAUACUCGAAGUCGUUAGCCUAACCGUAAGGAGGGCGGCGCCUAAGGUAGGACUGGUGAUUGGGGUUAAGUCGUAACAAGGUAUCCCUACGAGAACGUGGGGAUG
rnacentral:rRNA from 1 species